ensembl:lncRNA
AUUUUGAUAGGAAAACCUGCAGGAUUCAUGAAUCUCAGGGUAUAAGUAGAGGAGAGGGUUGUAGGAGAUAAAACAAGGAUAAAGGUGGAGGCCAAGUUUGCCUGGGGCCUUAAGUGCCAUUGCAAUUUCAUUCUUGUUUUGAAAUAAGAAUCUAUUGGAAGGAUUUGAGCAAAGAAUUGACAAUGUGUGAGUAACUCCAAAGUUACUAAAGAGAGGAAAAUAGUUCAACACUGUAGAUUCAAAUGAAGUCUAAUUCCAGCCACAUACUCAUUGCUCUAUGAUACUUCAAUAGGUUAAAUGUUACAAAUGUAUCGGGGAGAAACAGUGACUUGAAGCUGUUGGAUGAAUCAAAUAAUACUGAUUGGGCAGGAAAAUAACUGUUUCUGUGUUACCUGAGUUCAGUAAUCAUAAAUGUAUAUACAUAGAGAAUAUGAAUAUUAAUAUGAUUUGCUGUAGGUGGUUAUAUUAUGAAACUACAAAUGCUCAUUGGCAUUUGAUAGGGUGAUACCUGUUAAAUUGAAAAUAAGUCAAAAAUAUAUAAUACACAUAACUUCCUCAAAAUUCUAGCUUAGCAGGUUGUUAACACUUAGAGUGCUGGUCAUUGGCCCUUGCGAUUGUGUGGCUGAUUGGGAGCUGCAAAUCACUACUGCUGGCUAGCAUCCUGAGAGAUAUAGCAUGGCAUAUUGCUAGCUCAUACGUGUCCAAUGGGAUAUUUAUUACUUACACACCAUCAUAAAGAUGACAACUCACAAAUCAAAAUCAUCACAAAAACUCUACCAGUUGUGUAUACCUUUGAGUGAAAUAUAAACCUUAUUUGACAGUGAGGUGAAUUAUAAAAUACUAACAGACAUAUAUUAUCAGGUAGAUGUGAAACACCUGCAGCAGCAACAUGAUGAGCUUCAGCAAAGACAGUCUAAAUCAGAAGCAUCCCUGGAAGAUAUGGCGUGUUUUUACUAUAAGUUGAACAAUAAGACAAAGGAUAUAAUGGACGAGUUAGGUGAAAUCAACAGAAAAUUCCAGGAAGCAGCAGCACUACACCAAGAAGAGGUACAAAAUGCAAGGAAGUUACAAGAUCACCUUGAACACUAUAAUGCAAGGCUUAAAUAUGAAAAUUCAGUAUUAAAAGAUACCAUCAAAGUUCAGGCAAACAGAAUUGAAGAGCAACAGAAGUACCUGAUAAGACCAAGUUCAGUUUCACCGGAUAAUGUAAGAAGAUGUUGUAUGAACUCAGAAACUGAAAUCCAGAAAUUGAAGAAGGAAUUAAGUGACCUCAGGAGACAAGUACAUUGAAAUUUAUUGUGUCAAUAGCCCUUCUUGGGCUUCAUCCAAGAUGGUGGAAUAGGGAGGGAGCACACUGAUAGUCUGGGAAAAGAUAGUUUAAUACAAGUGGAGAUACUGUAGUUUCAGGGAAGAGUUAGGGAAAAAACUGCAGAGGAAACUCUUCUGGAAGUAGUAGGACACGGUGGACCUAUGUGGAAGGCACGGGCACCCACGGCUCGGGACCCCAGCCACUGAGUCUAGGCAACAGCGCUGGAAAGGGAGGUGAGGCGAAAUCUCAGCCAGAGACACUGGCAGAAAAGUAGCAGGAAGAGCCUAGAGGGAACGAGGCUUGAAGCCCCAUGGGGGAAAGUUCACCAGGCUAACUAGAGGAGAGAAAAA